UUCGGCUCCCAGGCACCCCAGACGCAACCACGCCGCGGCCGCCACUACUGGGCGCUGGGGCCAGCCCUGCCCCUAAGCAGCUGCAAUACCACGGUCGCCGCCGCCGCCGCCGCCCUCAGGGCGGUGUUUAGCACGGAGGGAACGUGGGUGCCUAUCUCUUUAAGAGGGCCUCACCACACGUGAUUCAUCAAAGUGCCCGCAGUCGGCCGCCCGGGCGGGCGCCUAAAGCUGCUUCCUAGUCGUACUCGCCUUGGAGUGGCCCCCGCUACUGAGCAUGCCCGGCGCGGCGACCGGCGCCUAACAGAAGACUCUCAGCCGCCGUGAAGCACUGAUUUCACUUCCUACUAGCCUCGCGUGCAAUGGGAGGGAACUCAAGAAAGAGAGGGGUAGCCCAUUUUAGAGGUGUGCAUUCUCCUACGGAGAUAAACUACCCGAGGACAGCAGAGAAGGGGAAUACUUGCUUCCAGACAGGGUAGACAAGGAGCCCCAAGUACAGGAAUGUUUUCUCUACACAAAACUGUUCACAGAACCUCAGUAUAUACUACAGUUGCAGAUUGAGCUGACUGCUAGCUGUUGAAGUUACUGUGGGAGUCAAGACAUGCUCAUGUCCACUUGGCUUCUCUCUCAUCCUCUGAGGCGACUCAUUUGAGGCCGCCACUGCUGAACUCUAGCUGAAACUAGAUAAAAUCUUGCCAGAUAGCGUCAUGAGGAUUGAAACUGGAGGAGCCCAGAGGAAAUGAAGAGAAAUAAAUGAAUCCACGAGAUGUUUAAAAGGAACA
rnacentral:lncRNA from 1 species